rnacentral:rRNA from 1 species
AUUGAACGCUGGCGGCAGGCCUAACACAUGCAAGUCGAGCGGAGCGGCGGACGCGUGAGUAAUGCCUAGGAAUCUGCCUGGUAGUGGGGGAUAACGUCCGGAAACGGGCGCUAAUACCGCAUACUCUCAGAUGAGCCUAUGUCGGAUUAGCUAUGUGGUGGGGUAAAGGCAUACAAAGGCGACGAUGCGUAACUGGUCGGAGAGGAUGAUCAGGCACACUGGAACGGAGACACGGUCCAGACUCCUACGGGAGGCAGCAGUGGGGAAUAUUGGACAAUGGGCGAAAGCCUGAUCCAGCCAUGCCGCGUGUGUGAAGAAGGUCUUCGGAUUGUAAAGCACUUUAAGUUGGGAGGCGUUACCAACAGAAUAAGCACCGGCUAACUCCGUGCCAGCCGCCGCGGUAAUAC